AAGGAGGGUAACGUUGUUCUUACGUGAUGUGGUGGGGCUUCCAAAUGAUAGAAUAAGUGUGGAAAUUUGUUGUGGGAUCAAACGAAAGAUAGAACUGUUGCUCUCUCCUUACCUUGACUGAACACAUUCGUAUGGAGAAUGUAUGGCUCACCACUCACGUUCCCUAGAAACUCAAAAUCUAUUUCAUCAUGUGUUGCUCCAGAGGCGUAGAUCUGAUGACUAAUAAUAAG